GAAAUGUGAAAAAUGCAGAUAUUUAGCCUUAAAAUUCAAAAAAAAUCCAUGACGUCAAUCGCAUUCGAAUUCGUUGCCAGCUUUCUAAUCUCGCAACAAUUGCCGUUUCUAUGGAAACGCGUAUUGUUGCAACACGAUUUUGCGUCACUUUGCACGUUUUUCGCUUGCCGGAUGGACAUGUGCGCUCUUUGCUCUGGUUUCUGCUGUGUUUUUUGCCUUUUUUACAUGGUUUUAAGAAGACUUGUGGACGCCGACAUUACACCAAGUAAGAUUUUAAUUAGAAUUUAGCUAGCUGUAAGAUUUUAUUUUCGUUUCGUUUAGUCCAACUUUCGGAGACGACAUCGGCCGACUCGGACUUUGCAUAUUUGCGUUUAAAUCUGCCGUCGCUUGUGUUUUUCGUUUGAAUUACCAUCCGAAACGCACCUCUUUCGACUUUUAAACCAGCCGCCACAUUGGAAAGCGACCGAAGCGCCGAAAACGACGGACGCAAAGGAUUAAGUAUUUGUUCAUUGGUUUAUUUUCGUAAUUAAUUAAUUUAGAUUAUAUUUUAUAAACACGGUCAAAGAAUAAGGAUUAUUUGCAAAUAUCUUAUUUAUAGAAAUUCGAUUAAAACUUAUUUAAUACUAACUCUAAAUACGAAUUGCGUAUCGUAAUUUUAACUAAAAUAUACACUCGAAACCGGAUGGACCGAAGGAUACACGGAGACCGCAUUCUGAAGCAUGACACGUUCCUUCGACACAUCCGGGACGUCAAAAAUUUCGCCCUUUCACCUCCGACUUCUCCAUUGAAUCUACGUAUUAGUUACAACGCUUUUCAAUGGCUUACUUUGCGAGAAUUAAAUUGUCUGCAGCUGUGCGACUUAAAACACAAUCUAAUACACUUAACAGUUAUCUAUACAGGCUGGACACAAAGAAUUCUUUUCCUUAAGCUGUUUGUCUCUUUCCACAACGCGGUCUUUUCCGAGUGCAGUCCAUCUUCCACACUUACGUAACCCUCUGCAAAUGCUCUGUGCCACUUAAACGUUCGUGUCCCGGCUGCGGGCACGUCUUGUGUUUUCGUCGACUCUCGUACGGAAUUUCUUCGCACGAGAAACUCUUUUAAAUGCCGUCGUUGCGUUUAGGUGACGCACGUUAGGGUAAAUUGUUCUAGAACGAAACACUCGUUACAACUUGGGCUCGAGAUCGAGUACGAGUGCCUUUUACGCAUGGCUACUUUUCUGUUUUGUCUUUACUUUUCUGUUGUACAAAUAAAUACAAAUUACACGUAAGAGAGUUUAUUCGUUCGGGUCGGUCGUCUCUACUGCAAAUGAAGUUCGAACCUUCUAGCAAUUUCCGGUAGGAUCUAACGCGAGCUGCACGAAUUCCGAUCCGACAAUGAAGAGCUGGCGGUUUUGGCGUUGGCUGCGGCCCAAGACGAAGAAGUGUGAAGGGCGUUCUCCUUCCUCAAUCGAUGAAGAGAGGGUCUUUUCCCCCUUUGAGCGGGGAGAGGAACUCUCUUCGAUUGAUUGCGGAAGGGGUUCUUGCUUCACGGGAUCGCCUUCGGGAAUAGCGGAUGUCGACAGCAUUCUCUGUUCCGCGUUGAACGGAGAGGAGACAUUUCGCCAUUCGGACGUGUUCCGAAAGGUGAAAUGUCUCCAUGUUGACGACAUCAUCUUUGACGCACUGGGAGGGGAGGAAUGUUUCGAUCAUUCCUCCCUUUUCCAACGAGUGGGAUCCUGUCGUUCGGUGUGGUCAAAGAUGGAAAG